CCCCGUGGCUCAGUUGGUAGAGCAUGGUGUUUGCAGCGCCAGCAUGGUGUGUGCAACGCCAGGGUUGUGGGUUCGAUUCCCACGGGGG
rnacentral:tRNA from 1 species